rnacentral:tRNA from 1 species
GCGACCAUGGCGAAACUGGCAGACGCGAUAGACUUAGGAUCUAUUGUCACAGACGUGGGGGUUCAAGUCCCUUUGGUCGCACCA